AUUGAACGCUGGCGGCAGGCCUAACACAUGCAAGUCGAACGAGUGGCGGACGGGUGAGUAAUGUCGGGGAAACUGCCCGAUGGAGGGGGAUAACUACUGGAAACGGUAGCUAAUACCGCAUACCAUCGGAUGUGCCCAGAUGGGAUUUGCUCGUAGGUGGGGUAACGGCUCACCUAGGCGACGAUCCCUAGCUGGUCUGAGAGGAUGACCAGACACACUGGGACUGAGACACGGUCCAGAGUCCUACGGGAGGCAGCAGUGGAGAAUAUUGCACAAUGGGCGCAAGGCGGAUGCAGCCAUGCCGCGUGUAUGAAGAAGGCCUUCUGGUUGUAGAGUCCUUUCAGCGAGGAGGGGUUACUCGCAGAAGAAGCACCAGCUAACUCCGUGCCAGCAGCCGCGGUAAUAC
rnacentral:rRNA from 1 species